rnacentral:lncRNA from 9 species
GCAGGCGCGAACACGCGCCCAGGGCGAGGCGCACAAACACUGGAGGGCGCCGGAAGUCCGCCUGCCAGGGCUCACAGCGAGGAGCCAGACACGCCGCCGGACUCUAUUGCCCAUAAGCCUCUGCGCCGUCAAGUUAGGGAACGUCGUAAAUGUAUCCGCUUCAUCAGGCGGUUAAGAGGUGCUGUGCUGAGAGGACUGGCUGCCUGGAGCGGGAACUCAAGUCGCAUUUGUCUUCGUUCCUGUUAAGGAUCAAGGAAAGCUGGAGGAUGUCCGCAGCCCGGAGCAGCUUGGAAGCGCCGCGCAUGAGCAGUGCCGCCCUCAGUCUGCAUCCGGCCGCCAGUUCUCACCUCCUCCACCGGUGGGACCUGGGUCCUCCAGCAGGGCUGCCUUUCCCAGGAGCAUGGACACCUCAGCACUGGUUGCUUGGCCUCAGAGACCCAGUCCAACUCAGAAAGUCGACGACUGCAAACCAAAGAGACAGACCCUGUACCUUGGAUGAACUGACUGGACUUUACAUGUGCAUGAUUGGACCAAUCAGCAUGUAAGUGAUCAACAUACAAACUAAAACUUUAGGCACAACCUGGAGUUCUCUUGUGGUGCAGCC